CUGAGAAUAAACUCCCUUCCUGCCUUCCCCACAGCCAUCUCUUGGAUAGGCCUUUGGGGCAGGUGGCCAGACCUGCACAUUUGAGAGCCCUGCAGCUCAGCCUUUGGCCCAGUUCCGGUAACAAGACCUGCAUUUGGGCAGUCAGCCCAACUGAGCCACUGGGCCUGGGUGUGGCACACAAGCUUUCCACCCGCUGGUGCAGAAUCCCCGGCCAAGCGAAAGCUGCUGCUGGCAUUUCAUUCUGUCAACACACUCAAAUGGACCCCGCUGGGAAGUGCAUUUUGACAGAGUGCUGCCCCUACAGUUGUUAGCUUCUUCCACUUCACACUUGUGGAAAGCAGAGAGGCCUUCGAAGAUGUCCUCCCUAGGAGCUAUGAAUAUGUCACCCCACCUGGAGAAGGGGCCUCACAGAUGAAGGAUCCUGGUAGGGGGAGCUGAUCCCCAAUUGUCUGUGCGCACAAUGGAUUCACAAGGGUCCUCAUGAGGUGAAGAGGGAGACAGGAGGGUCAGAGAGGAGCAGAGAGUUUGAAGGGAGGCCACUGUGGGCCCGGAAGACAAAGGAGCCAUGAACUGCAGAGUACAGGCUCUCGAUAAGCUGGAAAACGCUAAGAAAUGGAUUCCCUUUUAAAAGUUCUAGAAGGAACAGAACCCUGCAAACAUAUUGAUUUUAGGACUUCUGACCGACCUCCAAACUAUAAGGUAAUAGACUAUGUUGUUUUAAGCACUAGAUUGUAAGUGAUACAGCAGCCUCAGGAGACCAACACACCUGUUAGAUUUGCAUCAUGCGUCCCAAUUCUUUACCUGUCUGCUACAGUUUGGAUCCUGAGUGUCCCCCCCAAGGUCCAUGGCUACAGGUUUGCUUCCUGGGGUGAUGCUGUUGGAAGGCGGUGGACCCUUUCGGAGUUUCGACACGCACUUCUGCUGUGAUGUGCUGCCUUGACAUAGGACCAAAGGAAUGGGGCCAAGGAACCAUGAACUUGAAAACUAAUUAAAGGCCCAACCUCUCGUUUGUGAAAGUCAAACUGAAGCUGAGGAUGGAGAAGAAAAUGGCCCAGGACCCAGUCUCGGACUCUGCAUUGCACCCCAGGCUCCACUGUCCCUGACUGGCUCAGAGAGCUGAGUCUGGAAACCCUCACAACACGACCUCACCUACACGUCUUGGACGCUCUUGCCAUCUAGAACUAUGUACGGCUGAACUCUCAGGAUGUCUUCAUGUACUUGAGCAGAGGUGACCACUCAUAUCUGUUUAAAGCAAAAAUAUUGCCUGACCACAUCAUGACUGAAGCUGCUUGCGUCCUUGAGUGUUGCUGCCCCCCGAGGAUCAUGCUGGCCUAAGGGUGAGAGUGGAAGGCCAUUCAUACAUGAUCUAGACUGCUCACUUCCUCGAUCUCUGCAGUCAAGAACCACAUGUCUGCUGACUGGACAGACACAUGACUUGCAUGCAACAGCAGGACAGAGUGAGUGCUUCCACUGGACAGCCGGUAGGAACGUGGGUGACCCUGAGGACAGCUCAGGUUAUCCCAAUGAAACCACACGGACACCAGCAGACUAUGAGGGAACCUGCGCUUUGUAACCAUUUGGCCACAAUUUUUGAGCUGUUUUCUUCAUGGAUGCCCUCCUUCAUCACCCCUGUGGGAAACCUCACUUCUUAGCAUCUUUAUUACAUUUUCUCAGUAUC